rnacentral:tRNA from 1 species
GACCGGUGUCCAGGUGCGAAGGCGAGACCUACUUCGACUCAUAAUCGGGCGGCCGCGGGUUCGAGUCCCGUCACCGGCUUC